rnacentral:rRNA from 1 species
AUGACCAAUAGACUAAAACAUCAUGAGACAAGUGUGGAUCAUGUUUCGAGUAAUAAUCAGUAUGAGUUGCGUAGUAGAUUGGAAAAACAUCAAACUAUUGAUAAAGCUGCUCAACGACAACUUGAGAAAGAGAAAGACCAUUGGAGAAAGGUAUUCUUCAGAAUUGUUUACAUUGUAAAAUUUCUUGCAAAGCAUAAUCUAGCGUUCCGUGGUACUAAUGGCAAGUUCUAUGAAGAUAACAAUGGUAAUUUCUUGGGUUUGGUAGAGAUGUUGGCUGAAUUUGACCCUGUUAUUCAGGAGCAUGUUCAUCGUAUUACAAAUGAAGAAACUCAUGCUCAUUAUAUUGAUCAUAAGAUUUAG